rnacentral:lncRNA from 1 species
ACGAGGACGCGGGAGCGCUCUGCGCAGGGCAUCUACGUCUGGUCAAUGGAGCCCACCGAUGCGAGGGACGUGUAGAGCUCUACCUAGGGCAACGGUGGGGCACUGUCUGUGAUGAUGCUUGGGACCUGCGGGCAGCCGGUGUCCUGUGCCGCCAGCUGGGCUGUGGCCAGGCCCUCGCAGCCCCUGGCGAGGCUCACUUUGGCCCAGGCCGAGGCCCCAUUCUCCUGGACAAUGUCAAGUGCCGUGGGGAAGAAAGUGCUCUGCUGCUCUGCUCUCACAUCCGCUGGGAUGCCCACAACUGUGACCACAGCGAGGAUGCCAGUGUCCUGUGCCAGCCUUCAUGACCCAGCCCGCUCUGCAGACCACCUCUUCUUCUGGGAGCUGUGACCUGCCCUUCCUCCUCCAGGAAGCCCUCCUCUUGUGAUGACUACAGUUCACUUUGCUCCUCCUUCCCUUGCCUGGGAGAGAGCCUACCUAGACAGUGCAGUCCUGCUUGGGGGAGCCUGGCUGUACCCCCGUCCACUUACUGCGUGACCUCAGCCUGCCAUCGACUGUUGUGAGCCCAAUUCAGUGAAAGCUCCUGUGGUUUUGCUCAGCCAAAACCAAAACGAGGGGAAGAGGAUGAUUCCUAACUCUUCUGUUUGGUGGGGCUCUUUUUA